AUGCUGGUGUUCAGUUCCGUUGGACGAGCAGCAGCAGCAGCAAGUGAUCCGAUCGGGAUGCUCAACUGCGUCACGUCCUGCGGUGGCGUGAAGGUGCCAUACCCGUUCGGCAUUGGCCCCGACGCCAGCUGCUACCUGCCGGGGUUCAGUCUCAUCUGCAACACCACCGGCUCAAAGCCAUGGCUGCUGCUCGACGCCGACGGCAUCAUCCAAGUUCUCCGGAUCUCCGACAACGCUGAGAUCCCUUUACUGGACGUUCAACGUAACGGCGACGUAAAAAUCAGCGUUGAUGCCCAUGGCAACGGCAACAGCACAUUCAGCCGAGGCCUUAGGCGCCACGGCCCAUACACGCUGGCGAGCUACCAGAACGAGCUCAUCCUGACGGGCUGCAACGUGCAAGCCACAGUCAAGAAUGGCAACGUCACCUUGGCCAGCUUCACCUCGCUCUGCAAAGAAGACCUGGCGCCACAAGCAGCAGAGGAUGAAAGCAGCCUGACCAAGCGAUGCUCCGGCGGCACAGGCUGCUGCCACACUGAUAUCGUCACGCCGGCCGGCUACGACGAGGGCGAAGCGUACAGCAUCAGCAGCACCGGCACGUCCAAGUAUGACGUGCAGCUCAGAUGGUUCGGUUGGAACCGUAGCGCGGACCUGGAGCGAUUCCCCGUGCGUGUGUUUAUCGCUGAGAAGGGGUGGUACGACAACACCUCCAUCUCAAAGGAUUUGCUACAGAUAGAUCACCCCAUGUCAAAGGAGGCAAUGGCAGUGCCUGUUACUCUGAGGUGGGAGGUUGUUGGCCAUCCCAUCAGCAGCGUCUGCAAGAGCAACCACAGCGAGCACAUAAAGGGAACACGAAGAGGAAGCUAUGUGUGCCGCUGCAGUCGAGGUUACCAUGGAAAUCCAUACCUCACCGACGGGUGCAAAGACAUACCCUUGCUACGGUGA
rnacentral:rRNA from 1 species